CGAGUUAGAGCUUGACAUAAGCGUCUCUUUUACACGGAGAAGAUAUUUGUGAUUCAGAUUGGCUCGA
rnacentral:tRNA from 1 species